rnacentral:misc_RNA from 1 species
GAUGAAGAACGUAGCGAAAUGCGAUAAGUAGUGUGAAUUGCAGAAUUCAGUGAAUCAUCGAAUCUUUGAACGCACAUUGCGCCCUUUGGUAUUCCUUAGGGCAUGCCUGUUCGAGCGUCAUUAUCACCCCUCAAGCCCUGGCUUGGUGUUGGACUUUAGUUAUAGCUUUGCCUAUCAACUGGUCUCAAAGAUAGUGACGGCGCCCCAGAGGGAACCGGGUACGAGGAGCUUUUUACUAAGCAUGUAUCUGGGACGACUCUGGGCGACGGUCUUGUUAUACUUUUUACCUAAGUGUUGACCUCGGAUCAGGUAGGAAUACCCGCUGAACUUAAGCAUAUCAAUAAGCGGAGGA